GCCAAUGUGGUGUAGUGGUUUGAGUGUUGGACUAUGACUCUGAAGACAAGGAUUCAAAUUCCUGCUUAGCCA